UCCCUGGUGGUCCAGUGGUUAGGACUCCGUGCUUUCAGUGCAGGGGGCCCAGGUUUGAUCCCUGGCCAGGGAA
rnacentral:tRNA from 2 species